AUUGAACGCUGGCGGCAUGCUUUACACAUGCAAGUCGAACGGCAGCGCGGGGCAACCUGGCGGCGAGUGGCGAACGGGUGAGUAAUACAUCGGAACGUACCCAGAAGUGGGGGAUAACGUAGCGAAAGUUACGCUAAUACCGCAUACGUGCUACGGAAGAAAGUGGGGGAUCGCAAGACCUCAUGCUUUUGGAGCGGCCGAUGUCUGAUUAGCUAGUUGGUGAGGUAAAGGCUCACCAAGGCGACGAUCAGUAGCUGGUCUGAGAGGACGACCAGCCUCACUGGGACUGAGACACGGCCCAGACUCCUACGGGAGGCAGCAGUGGGGAAUUUUGGACAAUGGGCGCAAGCCUGAUCCAGCAAUGCCGCGUGAGUGAAGAAGGCCUUCGGGUUGUAAAGCUCUUUUGUCAGGGAAGAAACGGCUGAGGUUAAUACCUUUGGCUAAUGACGGUACCUGAAGAAUAAGCACCGGCUAACUACGUGCCAGCCGCCGCAGUAA
rnacentral:rRNA from 1 species